rnacentral:rRNA from 1 species
AUCUUGAACGCAUAUAGCGGCCUCGGGCACUCUCGAGGCCACGCCCGUGUCAGGGUCGGUU